GUCUACGGCCAUACCACCCUGAACGCGCGAUCUUGUCUGAUCUUGGAAGCUAAGCAGCGUCGGGCCUGGUUAGUACUUGGAUGGGAGAAAUACUACAAUGAUAAUGUAACCU
rnacentral:rRNA from 1 species